AUUGAACGCUGGCGGCAUGCCUUACACAUGCAAGUCGAACGGCAGCGGACCUUCGGGUGCCGGCGAGUGGCGAACGGGUGAGUAAUAUAUCGGAACGUACCUUUCAGUGGGGGAUAACGUAGCGAAAGUUACGCUAAUACCGCAUAUUCUGUGAGCAGGAAAGCAGGGGAUCGCAAGACCUUGCGCUGAUUGAGCGGCCGAUAUCAGAUUAGCUAGUUGGUGAGGUAAAGGCUCACCAAGGCGACGAUCUGUAGCGGGUCUGAGAGGAUGAUCCGCCACACUGGAACUGAGACACGGUCCAGACUCCUACGGGAGGCAGCAGUGGGGAAUUUUGGACAAUGGGCGCAAGCCUGAGUCCAGCC
rnacentral:rRNA from 1 species